CCUUUCGUAGCUCAACUGGAUAGAGCGCCGGUCUUGUAAACCGGGGGUUGUAGGUUCGAGUCCUACCGUUAGAU
rnacentral:tRNA from 1 species